rnacentral:rRNA from 1 species
UACGUAGGGCGCGAGCGUUGUCCGGAUUUAUUGGGCGUAAAGAGCUCGUAGGCGGCUUGUCGCGUCGACUGUGAAAUCCCGCGGCUCAACCGCGGGUCUGCAGUCGAUACGGGCAGGCUAGAGUUCGGUAGGGGAGACUGGAAUUCCUGGUGUAGCGGUGAAAUGCGCAGAUAUCAGGAGGAACACCGAUGGCGAAGGCAGGUCUCUGGGCCGAUACUGACGCUGAGGCGCGAAAGCCGUGGGGGAGCAAACAGG